rnacentral:misc_RNA from 1 species
CACGUUAUUUUAAAUUUAAUUUUCAAAAUUAAGUAAAAUUUCUUCAAUUUUCAAAAGAUUGUAUUUUUUAUGUCAAGAUUGAAACUAUUACCUCAUAAUUUCUGUAACUUUAUAUAAGAGAGAGACACCUAAUUGGAACAACUGCCACCAUCAGCCAAUGUGCCUAGCCAAGCUGGUGGCAACAUCCCAGUCUGCUACUGUACAAUCGUGAGCAAAGGGGGCAGCAUGCUAAAGACCCCAGCAAUAUCCUUCAUUGGACCACCACUAUUGGCCUUCACUCCACCAUUAGCACCAUUGUUCCAAAUGCUAAUCUUAGGCUGCAAUCCAUUGACUGCUUGUGCAUUAAUCUUUACAAAUUCUUGGAACAAGUUUUUCUCAAGCAAGAUCUAGUCCCUCGAUGCAGCAUUUUUGCCACCGAAUUGUUUUAGAAGUGUGGUGAGGUAAAAUCCUUGUGCUUUUGCCAAUAUUUCAAUUGCUUCUGCUUCUUUCUUCUUUGCAUACAGCUCUCCAUCCGCAGCUUGUUGGCGAGCACAGAAGGCUGCAUCUGCAGUAGCUUUCUGUGCCUCUGCAUUC